CCAGAUCAGAGUACACCUGCUCUUAGCCACUGCUCUUAGCCACUACGCCACUGCUGCUCUUAGCCACUACACCACAUUUGUCUAACUACCCUUUAUUGUAUGCCAAGCUGAGAGCUCCAGCCAUGAGUUUAUUUGUUCUCUCUUAUAUCCUGUCCUUUCCCAGAGAAUAGCGCAGCAGUUUUAGUCUGUAAGCCAGCUUCUUGAAAAAUAACGAUAGGACUAAAAUUUCCCAGUUAGCUUCCUUGUGCUGAGAAAACUGAAUACUUUUAUAGGAGUGUGAGAAUUAGCAUGUUGCUAUGUGCUGAAUCCAUUUUAACUUGUCCAAGCUCCCGUGUGUUUUCCAUAUUCCUGGACAGAGCAAAAUAAGAAUAUGGCAGUUGAAGCAGACCUAGUCCCACAUUCUGUCACUGAGAGGCUUUACAAGCAGGUCAUAGAGCUAUUUCCCCAC